rnacentral:rRNA from 1 species
CCCAGACUCCUACGGGAGGCAGCAGUGGGGAAUAUUGCACAAUGGGGGAAACCCUGAUGCAGCGACGCCGCGUGAGUGAAGAAGUAUUUCGGUAUGUAAAGCUCUCUCAGCAGGGAAGAAAAUGACGGUACCUGAUUAAGAAGCCCCGGCUAACUACGUGCCAGCAGCCGCGGUAAUACGUAGGGGGCAAGCGUUAUCCGGAUUUACUGGGUGUAAAGGGAGCGUAGGCGGCGAUGCAAGUCAGAAGUGAAAGCCCGGGGCUCAACUCCGGGACUGCUUUUGAAACUGUGUUGCUAGAUUGCAGGAGAGGUAAGUGGAAUUCCUAGUGUAGCGGUGAAAUGCGUAGAUAUUAGGAGGAACACCAGUGGCGAAGGCGGCUUACUGGACUGUAAAUGACGCUGAGGCUCGAAAGCGUGGGGAGCAAACAGGAUUAGAUACCCCUGUAA